rnacentral:rRNA from 1 species
CCUACGGGAGGCAGCAGUGGGGAAUAUUGGGCAAUGGGCGCAAGCCUGACCCAGCAACGCCGCGUGAAGGAAGAAGGCUUUCGGGUUGUAAACUUCUUUUCUCAGGGACGAAGAAAGUGACGGUACCUGAGGAAUAAGCCACGGCUAACUACGUGCCAGCAGCCGCGGUAAUACGUAGGUGGCGAGCGUUAUCCGGAUUUAUUGGGUGUAAAGGGCGUGUAGGCGGGAGCGCAAGUCAGAUGUGAAAACUCAGGGCUCAACCCUGAGCCUGCAUUUGAAACUGUGUUUCUUGAGUGCUGGGGAGGCAAUCGGAAUUCCGUGUGUAGCGGUGAAAUGCGUAGAUAUACGGAGGAACACCAGUGGCGAAGGCGGAUUGCUGGACAGUAACUGACGCUGAGGCGCGAAAGCGUGGGGAGCAAACAGGAUUAGAUACCCGGGUAGUC